AGCAUUUUUAUUGCAUUUUUUAGUCUAUCUUUUGCAUUGUUAAGGUGAGCCAUUGCUUGUAUAUUGCAAUGUUAAGGCUGCUGGUAUAUGGCAUUGUUAAGGCUAGCAGUCGCUGGUAUAUGGCAUAGUUAAGGCCAGGCGUUGCUGGUAUAUGGCAUUGUAAAGGCUAGGCGUUGCUGGUAUAUGGCAUUGUUAAGGCUAGUCGUUGCUUGUUU